GUGGGGAAUAUUGGACAAUGGGCGAAAGCCUGAUCCAGCCAUGCCGCGUGUGUGAAGAAGGUCUUCGGAUUGUAAAGCACUUUAAGUUGGGAGGAAGGGCAGUAAGUUAAUACCUUGCUGUUUUGACGUUACCGACAGAAUAAGCACCGGCUAACUUCGUGCCAGCAGCCGCGGUAAUACGAAGGGUGCAAGCGUUAAUCGGAAUUACUGGGCGUAAAGCGCGCGUAGGUGGUUUUGUAAGUUGGAGGUGAAAUCCCCGGGCUCAACCUGGGAACUGCCUCCAAAACUGCAUGACUAGAGUACGGUAGAGGGUAGUGGAAUUUCCUGUGUAGCGGUGAAAUGCGUAGAUAUAGGAAGGAACACCAGUGGCGAAGGCGACUACCUGGACUGAUACUGACACUGAGGUGCGAAAGCGUGGGGAGCAAACGGGAUUAGAUACCCUAGUAGUCC
rnacentral:rRNA from 1 species